UAGCCCUUGCCCUUCUGCCUUAGAGAUGUUACUAAGACAGAAAGUAAGGGUUUGCU
rnacentral:miRNA from 1 species